rfam:Carnobacterium maltaromaticum LMA28 complete genome
UUGAACGUUAGUAGCAUGGCCUAGUAAAUCAAAUAAAUACCUGAAAGAGAGUCAGUGGUUGGUGGAAACUGAUGGUUUAUUUUUUUGAAUCCCUCAUGUGAAGUGAAUAAUGAACCUUGCUUUUAAAGCAACUUAAAUUAUUUCGGCUACAGACCGUUAUCUGUCUUUGAGUGUAGAUAGAACGAGAACGUUGUAUCUAAAUUUGGGUGGUACCGCGAAUGUUAUAAGUCCUUUCGUCCCUUUU